UAAAACUAUCUGUUAGAUAAGUUAUUUUUUUUUCCUUCUUCAUACACUAACCCGUUAUCCAUUUACAGAUUUUAUCUAAGUCAUAUCUCUCUCUCUAAGUUUGAGUCGUUACACCAUGGGAGCAAAAGAUAGGUGCGGCUGUUCAGCUUCCUUUUAUCCGUGGAGUCAUAAAUUUUUGCGUCAAAAGUUCAGGGCUCUCUCUGCCCGGCUCCGAUUCAGCUGACGCAUCCAGAGUCCAGACCAGACCGCAGUCCUAGAUCGCAGUCAUGUCGUCUAAGCAAGGUAGG